UUUUGAUUACCUAUUACGGAAGCAAAUAUGUUUCACUAAUGUGCAAAAGAAUGGCUCACUGGCUGGUUAGUGCAGACUAUGAUCGGAUGCGCAUUUCCCUACGCCGCAGUGCCGGGUGCAUCAUACGUCGGUGUUGGGUUGCUGUUACUGGGCCGAGCGGAUGCGCGUGCACACGUGGGAAUAAACGACACGCAACCGUGGUAUUUUAUAUUGCAUCGGUACGAUUAUCGUGUUCAAAGGCUUUUUCGAGAAAUGCCAAUACAUAAAUCGGUUAGUCCGUUUAUAUCGGUUUCUCAAACCCCUGCAAGCAAUGGUCAAUCAUUUCAGUCUUAAACUUUUGACGAACGAAUGCCUGGUCGCUAGCUGCAGCUUUCCAUCGAUGUAGGCACACGAUCUUCGAGAUUUUACUUCACCUGAUCUAGCCAUCGAACUCGCUGUGCUUCCUUGCUUCUAGUACCGAACUGAGAGCCGCUCGAACACCUAGCUGCUGGGGCACGAGGCUGCCUUCUUCACAACAUGCUCCAGCCAUGGCAAACAGCCAUGUCCGGUGCGCCAUACGGCUUCAGUAAGCUCGUGGAUGAUCAUUCGCAUCCACACCCCAUGCUCGAAUUCACCGCCAAAGAUGAUCCGGAGGAUGCGUUGGCCGUCGUGUUUCGCCACUGUCCUUUGCAUGCUGUAAAGAAACAUACCUAUUCAUCGUCGGCCAAUGGUGCAGCACGAGCGCAACGUGAUACAUCGUGACAUCAUCCGGAAAACUUGCAGCUGGGGCACGGUGGUGAUCUGAAGAUAGCUGAUUUUGGUUGGUCAGCUGCACACAAAAACUGUCGAUCUAUGGAAUUUGGGCGUGCUGGCGUAAGGCCCCGUUUUUGGCGACCACGUAUGAAGAAUCGUACCGUAAAAUUAUGAAGCUGCAGUUUAAGAUGCCGCCAGAUGUAACGAAGCCGGCGGCCCAUCUGAUCUCGCGACUGUUCGUUAAGGAUCUGGCCAGCCGUAUGCCGCUGAAACAUGUUGCGUCCAUCCCUGGAUUCUGCUGCACGUGCACAAAAAGUAAAUAGGAAUUGCUGCUACCAUGUACCAUAUAUCGUUAUGUUCUCACUAAGUAUGUUUAUAAGAUACCUGUACUGUUGGGAACUAAAACCAAAGCGGAUGAAAUCUCUUGCCAAUAACGAUUUAUUUUCUUAUUACGCGCCAAAAAAUUUGUCCGUUUUUCCGCGAUUGGUUUAGAAAAGGGCUUGUUCCUAUCUUGCGGCCCUUUUUAACGCUUUUUUUUCUGUUACGCUUCGUGCCUUGUUCGUGUACUGGUCGCUCGUUUUAAAACGUCCCGUUU